rnacentral:rRNA from 1 species
GUAAUCUGAGCGUCUUAUUUUAAUAAGUCAAAACUUUCAACAACGGAUCUCUUGGUUCUGGCUCCGAUGAAGAACGCAGCGAAAUGCGAUAAGUAAUGUGAAUUGCAGAAUUCAGUGAAUCAUCCGAAUCUUUGAACGCACAUUGCGCCCUUAAGUAUUCUAGUGGGCAUGCCUGUUCGAGCGUCAUUUCAACCCUUAAGCCU